UCACUGUCUGUGUUCUGGUCUGCCCUGGUGUUCUGGUCUGGUCUCACUGUCUCCUGUGACAGAGACUCAGUCAGACGAGGACUCUCCUCCCUGUGAAACUAAAGCCAGCUGAAUGAGCUGUGUUCCAGUAAAGCUCCACCUCUUCCUGUACACAGAUCUACACUGAGGACAGCACGUGAUGAUCAGAGCAGAGAGCAGGCGGACGGCCAGAGAGACGGUCUACCUGGACAUGGAUCACCUGUUGCUGCUGCUGCUGCUGCUGCUGUGGAGCUCAGGACUCCAGGCUGAAGGACGACACACCUCAACAGAGCCUGUCAGGUUGGUGGGAGGAGCCAGUCGCUGUGCAGGAACACUGGAGCUGAAACAU